ACGAACGCUGGCGGCGUGCUUAACGCAUGCAAGUCGAACGGAAAGGCCCUGCUUUUGUGGGGUGCUCGAGUGGCGAACGGGUGAGUAACACGUGAGUAACCUGCCCUUGACUUUGGGAUAACUUCAGGAAACUGGGGCUAAUACCGGAUAGGAGCUCCUGCUGCAUGGUGGGGGUUGGAAAGUUUCGGCGGUUGGGGAUGGACUCGCGGCUUAUCAGCUUGUUGGUGGGGUAGUGGCUUACCAAGGCUUUGACGGGUAGCCGGCCUGAGAGGGUGACCGGCCACAUUGGGACUGAGAUACGGCCCAGACUCCUACGGGAGGCAGCAGUGGGGAAUAUUGCACAAUGGGCGGAAGCCUGAUGCAGCAACGCCGCGUGCGGGAUGGCGGCCUUCGGGUUGUAAACCGCUUUCGCCUGUGACGAAGCGUGAGUGACGGUAAUGGGUAAAGAAGCACCGGCUAACUACGUG
rnacentral:rRNA from 1 species